UACGUAGGGGGCAAGCGUUGUCCGGAAUUACUGGGCGUAAAGCGUGCGCAGGCGGUUCGUUGUGUCCGUCGUGAAAGCCCCGGGCUUAACCUGGGAACUGCGAUGGAAACUAGCGAGCUGGAGUGUGGCAGAGGGGGGUGGAAUUCCAGGUGUAGCAGUGGAAAUGCGUAGAGAUCUGGAGGAACACCGAUGCGAAGGCAGCCCCUGGGCUACACUGACGCUCAUGCA
rnacentral:rRNA from 1 species